rnacentral:rRNA from 1 species
UACAGAGGGGGCCAGCGUUAUUCGGAAUCACUGGGCGUAAAGGGCGCGUAGGCGGGAUGGCAAGUCGGUCGUGAAAUCCUUCGGCUCAACCGAAGAACGUCGGCCGAUACUGCCGUUCUUGAGGGAUGCAGAGGAGAUUGGAAUUCCCGGUGUAGCGGUGAAAUGUGUAGAGAUCGGGAGGAACACCGGUGGCGAAGGCGGGUCUCUGGGCAUCUCCUGACGCUGAGGCGCGAAAGCGUGGGGAGCAAACGGG